rnacentral:lncRNA from 1 species
UUUGAGUCUGCAGAUCUGGGCUGGUGGAGCCUUCUCUGCUGUGACACGUUCAUUCUAGAGCAUGGAGGAUCGUGAGGAAUCUCCAUCUGGCCUGGUGAGAGCAGUGAGAACCUGAGCAAUGGGUGCUUUGUUCGUGAGGUAACUGAGCAGCAUCAGAGGUUGCUCGAGGAGAAGGAAUGAGGUCACCUUAACAAGGAGAGUUCUCCUAUCAGAAGUUGGACUGUUUCACUGUUGUGACUUCCCUGGAGCCAAAUGCAUUCUGCAAACUGCCAGUAGAAGACACAGAAGCAAUUUAUAUGUUCUAAUCCUAAGGUUAUAAAAAAAAAAUACAUUCGCGCUUUGACCAGAAAUGAUGGAAUGUUUCAGUGGUCUUGAAAGACAAGACACGGCUUUAUAGAUUGACCUCAGUUUCUGCCUCCAAGGGUCUCAUGAAGACCAAGCUGCUCAUCCACAUAGAUGAAAGGGCUUAGGUCCAGCCCAGGCUCCCGCUUUGAUGAUUCAGUCUCUGGGAGCCCCCAAGGGUCCAGGGCCUUCCCCUCAGGGUGAGGAGGAGACAGGAGGAGCUGUUGGAGGAGAGACACAGGAGGCUCAAAUUUAGUGACCAUGGAGAAGCCAAACACAAGGAGCCUUGGAUUCCUUGCCUACUAUCACAGUGUCAAUGGAUUCAUUUCUGAACCCAGCCACUGCAGAUUUCUUGACUGAUUGCAAGCCAUCACUCCCGAAACUCUCUCCAAGUCUAAUUGAUUCAAGGUGCACUGAGGUUUCUUGCGAUGGCUUCCAAGGCUGCUCAUAAAUUCUCUUCCAGUUUUCCCCAGAUUAAAAUGAAAAUAAUUGUAAAA